rnacentral:rRNA from 1 species
UUAAGAAUCUUGCACAAUGGGCGCAAGCCUGAUGCAGCGACGCCGCGUGAAUGAUGAAGGCUUUCGGGUUGUAAAGUUCAGUAAGCAGGGAAGAAUAAGCAAGAGGUAAUAUUUCUUGUGAUGACGGUACCUGCCUAAAGCCCCGGCUAACUACGUGCCAGCAGCCGCGGUAAUACGUAUGGGGCGAGCGUUGUUCGGAAUUAUUGGGCGUAAAGGGCGUCUAGGCGGGGAUUUAAGUUAGAUGUGAAAGCUAUGGGCUCAACCCAUAAACUGCAUCUAAAACUGAAUCUCUUGAGUUCGGGAGAGGAGAGCGGAAUUCCAGGUGUAGCGGUGAAAUGCGUAGAUAUCUGGAAGAACACCAGUGGCGAAGGCGGCUCUCUGGCCUAGAACUGACGCUGAAGCGCGAAAGCGUGGAGAGCGAACA